rnacentral:lncRNA from 1 species
CUGGAGGUAGCAGCCAGCCAGCUAUGGUGGUGGCUGUGGGUAGGGAAUGUCAAUGAGGUUUCAGAAAUAUGGAGAUGCAGGGACUGUUGGGACCCCAGUUAGGGUACCUUCUGGUGGGGGCUGGGCUUUCAAUAUGGCUGUACCUGCUUUGGGCUGAGAUUGUGUGAAACCCAGUGUGAGCUCCCUCUCUUGAGCAAUGCCUUUGUGUGGUCUCCAAGCAGCCUCCUAUGUUAGUCUCAGGGACUCCGAGGGUCUAGGGGCUUUUCUAUGGCUAUGAUGUGAGUCUCUGGUGGGAAUGUGAACCACUGGGGUCACUCACUUACCCUUUGCCCACACUGGGGAGCCGCUCCAGGCUGCCAGCUGAUCCUUGCUGAGCAAGCUGCACUGUGUUCCUCGUGUCCCUUACACUUCAGGUGUUUCCUGUCACUUCUCUAUUGAACGCCGGUGUUCUGUAUUAGUUGAUCUACUCAGAGUGUGAUUACCUGUUUGCUAUUUUGGUUCUACUUUGUGGAGGAGGCAAGUACCGGAUGCCUGUAGUCAGCCAUCUUGAAUCGCUAAUUGAAGUUUGAAAGUCUAAAGUUAUGUUAUUUUAAAUUAAGUGAUAGAUACUCAUUAAAUGUCUAAGUCACUUCCAAAUAAGAAAAAAAUGCUAAAACAAAAAUUUCUAAAUGUAAGCAUACAUUUGUUAUUGACUUCUUAAGUUUUAUAGAAAAACUAUAUAUAUUUGAGUCUAUUAAUUCACAUAAUUAUGUUACAGGGAAGCAUGUUUCUAAAAAAUUAUAAAAUGGUUCUUAUCUAGAUAAUACUGAUAAGUGACACAGUGCAAAAUUUAUUGCUUCCUAGGUUUUCACUAGAAAAGAAGUUUUUAAGUGUUAAAAAUUCUAAUGUGUAUAUAUAAUACUGUAUAGAAAGUGACCCAAAAAGAUGUUUUUGAUAAGAGAAAGUAUAAGAAGGAAAUAAAAAUAUGUUCUUUACUGAACUAAAGAAUAAUUUUGUCUAAAUUCAGAGGUUAUUAAAAGUUUGUAUCAAAAUAUGGACUUAGAAGGAAGUAAGUAGAAACAUGAUGGAGAGGAACCAGUUAGUAGAACAAAGACAUAUGAAGAAAGUUAUACAUAUGAAAAUGCAUUUUUGGUAAGGUAGAUUAAAAACAAAAAAAUAAUAAUUUUUUUAUGAGAAAGAAUCUUAUGUGGUAAAUUUUUGUCCUAAAGUCAAAUGACUGGUUAUGUAAGAAAGAGGAAGUGUAGGACAAAGCUGAAGUUCUGCUCAUGUCAUGGAAUGUCUGAAUAAGUGAUGGAAGGUUUGUGAAAGAUGAAUUUAUGAUGGAAAUUUGUGUGUGAUCAGGUUGGCUAUAAUUGUAAGAGAAUUAUUUGUGUGUCUUUCUAAAGACUGAGCUUUGGUAUUAAAAAUACACUGAUACAAAACUAACAAUUUGGUUCCUUGUGUUCAAACAAUAAGGUUUCUUGAAGUGUUUGCUCUUAGUAAAAUUUGCUAGGUUUUGGUUUAAUUCCGAAAUAUGUUUAAAAAAAAUUUCAACCAUUCAACCAUCUUCUAAACUGCAGCUUCUUCCUGUUUUACAGUUUCUAUUUGUGCCAUAUUUCUUCCUGAGAUUUAUUUAAUUUUUCUGGAUUUAGAUUGAAAAUUCUGUCUUUAUUUAGAUUAUUUCAUUUCUUGAGGUAGAUUUUUCCUCUUGAAGCUUCUCAAGUUUCUAUCUCAGAAGUUCAACUUUUGCUUUAUCUAACUUUAUGUGAUUUGCAGGUCAUACAUCAUUGCCUUUUGUUCUUCCUCUUUCUCCCCUUGAGAAGGUACAUCUUUUUGCUUGGCUGUGCUCAUAACUCUUUCCUUCAACUUUUUCAUCAGCUCUCAUAAUUUUUUCUUCGGUCUUAACUCUGCUGUUAUGGCCUGAUGCUGAAAUGUUCUUUCUUGAAGGCCUAAAAAAGCAAAGUUUUCCUCAAGCAUAAAUUCAUUCUGUGCUCUUGGCAUUUCUUGAUGUGUCUAAUUUUUUUUUUCAUGUAACCAGGAAACUUCCCAUGCUGUUACUAAGAGCCAUGUAUUCCCUUGCUCAAGGUCCUAAUUUUCUGUUUACAUUCCUGUGUAUUAUGUUGUACAAUCAUAACCUUGUACACUGUCUUACUACAUCUGAUUAAAUUUAAGUACUAGGUUUACUUUCCAGUUUACCUAAAAGAGUUUUCUUUAAGGAGAAGCAAUCACUCUUCAGUAGAUUUGUUUUUUUCUUUUUUGGUAACAGGCCUACGAAACAAGGAUUUCAUGUUUUAUCAAGAUAAUUUCCUUUGUUGCCUUUAUUAGAUUUUUUGAUAACUUAGGAAAGCUGAACUUUGAAAAAGUUAAAUUUGUUUUAUUUUGCUUUUACAGUCAUGUACUUUAUUUAUUUUGAUUAUCACCCUGGUUAAAGAAAUACUAUUAUUUCACAGUUACCUGCAGUCCUGUUUUGAUGAAGUGUUUUGAACCUUUUGGCAUCUUUGAUGAGCUUCCUCAGUAUCAAAAUUCUAAGUCUUUUUGACCUAGAACUAACUUUGGGAUUUUUCAGCUGGGCCUUGAGAGAGCCUCAAAAAAUGGAACUCUUGUCCUAUAGAGAUAUUAGAUCAUUACAUUAAUUUGGUGAAUUAUGUAGGAAACAUUGUCAAAUGGUAAGUGAUGCUAGUUAUUCUUUCAAUUACAUUUAUGGGUAUGUUAUUGAUAUGGAUAAUCCAAAAUUGCAUAAAAGGUUUAGAAACCUAAUAUGGCAUCAGACAUAAUUCUGGUUAUUAUGUUGUAUAUUACAAAAAUAACCAAAUUUUCUUGUCAAUUGCUGAUUAUAACAAACUUCCAUCAGAUUUUUAACUAUGGCUCAUCUGUCUCUGUCAUCUACAGUUUUGAUUUUUCUCUAAAAGCACUUCCUUCAGAUGCAUGUAAAAGACUAAGAAGUACUCUUAAGUGUAGGUUUCUAGUAACUUUAAGGUCAAAGGAUGACAUAAAAAAUUCUUAGAACUCUAAAAAUUUCUGAAAUGAUGAACCUGACCAAUUUGAGAAACUUCCAAACAAUAUCAAGCUGAACAAAAAUUAAUUACAGAGAUUAAUUAACUGAUGAAGAUAAAAAUUUUAUGAGGCCAGGCACAGUGGCUCAUGCCUGUAAUCCCAGCACUUUGGGAGGCUGAGGUGGGUGGAUCACGAGGUCAAGAGAUCAAGACCAUCCUGGCCAACAUGGUGAAACCCAUCUCUACUAAAAAUACAAAAAUUAGCUGGGCAUGGUGGCACACGUCUGUAAUCCCAGCUACUUGGGAGGCUGAGGCAGGAGAAUCACUAGAACCCUGGAGAUGGAGGUUGCAGUGAGCCGAGAUUGUGCCACUGCACUCCAGCCUGGCGACAGAGUGAGACUCCAUCUCAAAAAAAAAAAAAAAAAAAAUUAUGACUUUUUUGAAACUAUUGAUUCUUAACUUAAAUGUUUUAUUUUCCAAAUUUAAGAAAACUUUUUCUUUUAAGCUAUCGUAGUUAAUACAGCAAUUUGGUAAAGUCUGUUUUUGUGAAUAAAGGUGGAAACAUUUACUUUUUCUCUCUAUUUGAUCCCUCUGAAAUUUGGAAACUAUGUGUGGGUAUUCUUGUGGUAAUAUGUUUAUUUGUAUAAGUUUAAUAAAAUUUUGCUGUCUCUUUAGAAAAUGAUACAAUCGGAAGCAUUAAUUAUAAAACAAAGCCUUAACUGGAAUAUCUUUUUUGAGAACUAGCAUAGAAUGCCCAGCUUCAAGGGUUCCAAACCUUACUGUCAGUGAAUAAAAAUUGUCACUUCCUGACAGUCCUAGAAACUUCAAGACUGAAGGUAAAAUCUGAAAUCUGCCUUGGUUUGGCUUCCAAGCCUGGAAAGAUUUUUCCAUCUGAGAUUCUUGUCUGAUCAAUGUAAAGAGAAAAAUGUUUUGUUUCUAAAGAAAAGCUAUAAAACACCUGUUAUAAGACUUUAGCCCUAGGCAUUGUUUUAGAGUUCUUAUUACCUACUAUAAACUGACUAGAUCCUGAAUUCUUCUGGAUUUCUCCAGUCCAACCUUUUUAUGUUAGAAUAGGCACAUAGCCAGACAUGAGCAGGUAAGGGUUCCCCCCAGGAAAGAGAUCUUAGAAAUGCUGCCCAUUGAUAGAAUCCUUGGAGAUACUGACAGUCAGCAAAAAGAGAACCAUGGCCACAGUGGCUGCACUUGGCCUUGUGGCUGGGCUCUUCUGACCCAGAAGGGACUUAGUAAGCCCUAACCGGAGAUAACUGAGUUAGGGGCUUUUCCUCACUAGUGAGCAUGUGUACUCCUCUAAUAACUUGCCUAGGAAUAGUCUUUUGCUCGUUAUAAACUCCAUUCCCCUCCCAUUAACACUUCCGUAAUAUUACUAAAAAUGGGAACUGGUCUGUACUGAAGCUGUAUAAGCUGAAACCAGAUGAAUUCUAAGAGGUAAGUUUCGUGCCUGAUGUAUGGGUCACACAGAAAGUUCACCAAACUGCCUGGUGCCAUAACCAGAAACAUUCAAACUGCAAACUAGAAUGAUAAGUUGAUAGCUGCAUGCUGUAGAUAGCUUUUUUCCAAGACAUUGGAACAAGACUCCAUAUCAUAAUGAGACUCUUUCCCCUUUUAACGCCUACUUUUUACACUUGGCAGGAUAAUGGUGUAAUUGAAAUUUCACAUUCAGUAGCUUCUGCUGGUAACUUGACUGAACCUGAGCUAUGAGAUGCUUUAGUCUACCUAGUGGAGGUACAACCCCUAUGAGAGUAAUGUUGGCCUAGCACUUUGAGAUGAUAAUCAAUACCUGUGGAACAGACAUAUUGAACUUACCAUGGACCCAGGUAGACCUAGCCUGAGAACCACUACCUCCAUACCUCCUUUGAAAUUGCUCAAAUGUAGAUAAGAAAGUUUUGACACUGACUUACUCAUCAAUUACUGUCUCUGAUGUGGGACCAGACCAGACCAACCAGGACAGGUUCAUCUAGGCACCAAGGGACAAUCAAAACUUAAAUACAGGAAAUUGAUCAUCAAUGCUUGUGGGUUGUGGGUAAAGAUCUUGAUCAAAAGGAGGAAAUGUCUGAAAGCUGUAAGAAUCAAAAUGGAGUCACUUGUGUUAAAACCCUGACAAAUAGAGCUGGGGAAGGCCAUGAAGUGAGGGUUCUUAUAUAUGAAUGCCUGAUAACAAAAACUAUCACAGAAGACUGCAAAAACCACAAUCUUGUGCAAAUGUAAUUACAAACUUACACACACACACACACACACACACACACACACACACACAAUGCUUCUUGAGAACAUCUGCCAAGCAACUGCCUGUCCAAACUUGGACUUGUGCCACCCUUGUUAUUAAUCUUUGUCGCCAAGUAUAAUUAUCUCAAAAUAAUUAUGUAAUUCUCAUUUUUUCUUUAAAAUGCUUUGUCUUCUUUUACCUUCCUGAAUAUGCACAUAGUUUACUAUGGCCUGUGUAUUCCCAUUGCAAUGCCGAUUCUCAAAUACAUACCAUUUUCUUUUAGAGAGUCUCCCUCUCUGUUAUUAAGGUUGACACAAUCAACCUAAACACAGAAGGCUGAAGGGCUUAGAGGACUUUGCCUAGAGGAAAAGGUGCUGCAAUGUUCAUUAGCCCAUUUUCAGUUUUAUAGGCAAACUAGGCCUGCCUAUCACCGAGACCAAAAACUCUCCAACUUAGUUAGGCAUAUCUCACCCUUCUGCUAUUGGUUCAGGUUUCGACAAAGCCUCCUCUUAAAGGACACCUUAUCCUCUCUGCUCUAGGACCCUAAACAUUGGCAACUCUGACAGGAAAGUUUCAGAAUUCUAUGUUCUGUCCAUUAUCAUUCUCUUUCUAUGGAAAACUCAAUUCCCCACCCCACCCCCCGACUUUAUUUUUACCUUGUUCAUACUCUUGUGUGUUAGGGUGAAUCACGGUCCCCAAAAAUAUCCAUGUCCUAGGACCCAGAACCUAUCAAUAUGUUACUUUACAUGGAAAAAGAACUUUGCAGAUGUGGUCAAGUCAAGGAUAUGGGGAUGAAGAGAUGAUUCUGAAUUAUCCAAGGGUCCUUAUAAAAGAAAGUUAUAUGAGAAAAAAAAGGGAUAAAGGCUAUGUGAUAUGAGGCCCUGAGUAAAAGAAUGAGGGCAGCCACUAAUGUUGGAAAAGGCAGGGAACAGGUACCACCUUCAAAAUUCCAGAAGGAAUCUGUUCUGCUGGCACCUUAGUUUUAAUCCCAUAAGAUUCAUUUUAAACUUCUGACCCCCAGCACUUGAGAGGAAAAAUUUGUGUUGUUUGAAGCUCCUAAGUUUGUGAUAGUUUGUUACAGCAACAAUUGGAAACUAAUAAAUCUUUAACAUGUUCUUGGAAACUAUGAAAGAAGGGUAUUUGAAAUAGACCCUAUUAUGGCUCUAUUAUGACUUACACCAUUGAGAUUCUGGUGUACAGAACUGGGAAAAAGUAGUCAAGUGGGAAGAAAUCCUCAAUACGUUGUCUUCAUAAUGCUUGUUUCUUACUCUGUAUGCUACUUAUUAAAUUUUACAUAUAUUAGUCUGCUCAAUUUUUACAAAAUGUGUUGAGCAGGUAGGGAAGAAACUCUUGAGCUCUUUUUACAGCUAUAGAAAAUGAGGUGCACAAUGUUUAAGUCAUGUAGCUUAAAUCAUACAGAAAAUCAGUUCAAAACUCAAAUUCUUGGGCUCCUCACCAGACCUUACUGAAUGAGAAUCUUUGUAGAUUUUUAUGCACAUUGAAGUUUGUGAUGCAUGAGUCCAGAACAGAGGUUGGCAUGCAGCUUGCAGGUUGAUUUUGUAAAUAAAGAUUUGAUAGAACAUGGCCAUGUCCUUUCAUUUCAUUGUUUAUGACUGUUUUUGUUACAAUGACUGAGUUGAAUCAAGAGACUUUAUGGUCUGCAAAACUUAAAACAUUACUCUCUGAUCCUGCACAGCAAAAGUUUGCUGACCUCUGGUUAGAACACAGCACAGUCUAAAAUGAGGUGUUAAAUGGAUGAUUCUGUGAUUUUUUUCAGAAUGUUAUAACGUGGCCAAGAAAAUAGCUGUAAAAUAUCCAACACAUUAGCCAAACUGCUUCUACCUGAAUAUAACCCUCUCUCCUGUUUCUGAAUGUACUAGAGUGCAUUGCAUGAAAACCCAUAGGAAUUCAGAACUAAAAGUUGAUAAUAACCAAAUAAUGAGUCCAUUCAGUUUUUUCAAAUGUGUUAGAAUAAGUGGCAUUUCUGUUACUAUGAUUAGUGCACUGAAAUAAAUCUGAAAUGCAAUGUUAGAGUGAGAUACAACUUUUUAAUGGAGAAAAAUACAGCUUUUUAAGCUUUAAACUGAUAUGAGCCAUGAAUGCGCAAUAAAAAUGAUGCCACAAAUUAUUUUAGCCCUUAUAUAAAUGCAUUGCAAAUUACAUUUUCUCUAGCAUUAUCAAGAAAUACAAUAGUGUAAUAUUGAAACCAAUAUUCACACACUGCUUACACAACCCACUGUAUGCUUUCAUAACACGAUUUUUAUUAAGACCAUGUACUCAACAUGGAAAUAACUUUAUUGUGAAUACGAGAUUUGAUGAGAUAGUUGCAAAAAAAAAAGGCUUUAUCUAUGUAUCUGUGUAUCUCACACAUACAGGAAAUUACUGUUCAAGUGAAAGUCUAAAAGUCUGGAAAAAAGCUAGAAGCAUUGUCUAUUUCUCAUUUCAGGAGUAGCUUCAGUUCACAAAAAAAGAAAAAAAAAAUCACUGCUUAUUAGAAAUUUACAAAUCAAGGAAAGCAGCUCUCCUCCACCCACCUUUCUUUUUUUUCUUUUAUUCCUUUUUGUUUUUUGUUUGUUUGUUUUUUGGUUUUUUUUUUUCUUUUUUGUUUUGAGACAGAGUCUUGCUCUAUCUCCCAUGCUGGGGUGCAGUGGCACAAUCUCGGCUCACUGCAACUUCCACCUCCAGAGUUCAAGCAAUUCUCAUGCCUCAGCCUCCUGAGUAGCUGGGACUACAGGCAUAUGCCACCAUGCCCAACUAAUUUUUGUAUUUUUAGUAGAGACGGGGUUUCACCAUGUUGGUAAGGCUUGUCUUGAACUCCUGACCUCAAGUAAUCCACCCGCCUUGGCCUCCCCAAAUGCUGGAAUUACAGGUGUGAGCCACUGCACCGGGCCCCUCCUUUCUUAGAGCUAGUUUUAUCUUAGUUUAAAUUUUCUUUUUGAAUUUCCUAUAAUUAUCUAAUGCUUUAUUUGUUAAUACUAUGAAACUUUAUGUACCUCUUAACCAAGUAUUGAUGACAGUAACCUACAGCCUUUAGGGAAAACACUUGAAAUGGCUUUUUAAAAAUUUUAUAUUUCAAAUUAAAAAUUCCAAGUAUAUAAAAUAAAGCUAUAGUAAAAUAAAGCCCCAUGUAUUCAUCACUCAACUUUUAUCAACAUUUUUCAUUCAUCUACCACCUAUACCGCUGUCUACUCUCCACAUCUCAAUCACUACUAUAACUACUCUAUUUACAGUUGUUUUUCCUGAAGGUAAAAUAUCACAUAUUCUAAUGCACAAAGGUUAGCUUUACAGUUUUGAAAAACAGAUACACCCAGAUAACCCAUAACCCUAGGGUGUCAUAGAAGAAUUUUUUUCUCACCAGAAUGUUUCUGUAUUUUCAUUCUAGUCAAUUUUCACCAUUCCCCCUUAAAUCUCCAGAAUUGGCAGUUGUUCUGAUUUUGUUUUUUUCAUUUUAGUUUAGUUUUCCUAUUUGGAAACUUUUUUAAUAAUGGAAGCCUACAAUUUCGUCUCUUUUUAUUCUAAUUUCUUUUGGUCUCAACAAUGUUGUUGAGAUUCAUUCAUGUUGAUGCAUUUAAUUUCUGGCUUUUCAUUGCUCAGUUCCAUUCUAGUGCACGAAUAGGCCACAAUUUGUUUUUACGUCCUCCUGUUGAUGGACAUUUGAGUUAUUUCAGAAUAAAAUUUUUGAAACCAAAAAUUUGCAUUGAUUAUAUUCAGGAAUUAUUCUGUAAAGCUGACAAAAUAAGGAACAAUAAUAAAGUAAAAUAAAUUCAUGGCAUUCUGAAACAAACUAUAUUAUAAAACAAACGUAGAUGUCCUGAGACUUCUCAUCAUCAUAGACUCCUAUCUAAUAGGGGAAGAGUUAGUUUUAAGUAUUAAAUGAGUUAAUACACAUAAAGCCUUUAUAAGCGUGCCUGUCACAUAAUAAGGACUCAGUGUUUCAUUGUUUUUAUUAUUUGUAAUAGGAAAAUAUAAUGAAAACAUUCUAAAAUGACUCAAUUAGAAUAACAUUUUAGACAAUAUGUGAUUACCAUAGCAUAUAAUACGGUCAGUUUAAUUCACUGUCAUUUUCAGCUGGAAGAUAAAACACGACUGAAAAAUAGCUAUUGCAGGUAAGAUAUCUGUGUGGAUGUGAGAGUUAGAAUUACGUUGGUGUGAUAGUUUAUUACGUUGUUUUUGCUCUCAUGAAUUUUGCUUUAAAGUUAAAAAUUUACUCAAUUUUUAUUAUUCUGUCUGUAAUAAUGGUUUAGUGGCAGUGCACUAAUAGAAAUAAUUUUGCUAGAACAAAUAAACUAUAUAAUACAUUAUACACACACAUGCAUCUAUGCUAAUUUAAUUUAGAAUAAUAUAAACAGAUUAAUCCACUGGAAAAUUUUUUAAAAAGCAAUAAAGGUACUGCUUUAAAAUUGUGUUGUAUUUCUUUAUUUUUAAAUUAUUUCAGCAAAAUAAGACAAAAAGCUUAUAUUUGCUUCAUUGGUAUAAACCCAAAAUCAAAGUAAGAAAAUCACAUUAAAUUUUCUAAAUAUUUUCACUUUUAACUUUAUUUAGAAUUAAAAACUGUAAUGCACUUUGCUGUUUUAAAAAGUGUGCUUUGAAAUAGCAUUGUAACUGGGAGUUAUUUUCAGAAUAAUUUUUGUAUUUUCAUAUGUGAUUGGAGACCUUGUUUUUUACUUCAUUUCUGAUCCUUACCAUUCUCAAGCUCUCAGAGGAAUAAUACAGAGAAUAUCAAUGUAGUUAAAAAUCUUAGCCUGGGGCAGUAGCCUAUGCCUGUAAUCCCAGCACUUCGGGAAGGUGAGGUGGGUGGAUCACUGAGACGAGGAGUUUGAGACCAGCCUGGAUAACAGUCAUCUAAAAAUCAUCUUGGGAUAAUAGAUAAUAAAAGUCAUCUUGGGAUAACAGUCAUCUAAAAAUCUCAGAUUUUCACACAUGGACUGCUGUUUUGCCAAGUUUCCUUACAUUGUAGGAUUUUUCAAAAAUUUAUUACAGAGCAAUAUGUUCUUUGAUAUUAACUAAGUUAUUUUCUUUUAAUUUUGGAUGAUAAUUUGAUCCUUUGAAAACCUGAUAAAUAUUGAUGAGAUUUCUAACACAUUAGCUGUUUGUUUACAGCAUUUUUUUACCUAAAAAUUCACGGAAUAUACUUUUAUAUGAUUAUCAAAUUAUAAGAUAAUCGUAGAAUAAAUCAUAAAAUAUCCAUGGAAAAAUCACAUAUAAUACCUACAUGUUUAGCAUUUAUAUUCUCUCUAGGUAGACAUCAACUCAUUUUUAAAAAUAGGUUUAAAACCUAUUGUAUCUAGGUAGAUUCAACUCAUUUUUUUAAUUAAUACUGUCAUAUAAUUUGUAUAUUUUAUUCAAUUUUGUCUGUAAGAGCUAAAUAUUUAGAGGCUUAUCUGAAAUACUGUAUUUGGCAUUGCUUUAAAGCAAUGUUCAAGAAAACAUUUCACAGAAAGAAAAUAUUAAUUAGGUAUUAAUAUUCCUUAUAAGACAUUAUUAUUCCUCACUGUAAUUUCUUAUUUUCUUAGUAUUCAAACUUAUUUUAUUUAUAUUAUAAAAUGUUCUAAGAUAUUUACUUCAGGCUUACUGUUCCACGAUCCAUUUGUCUUUUCUGCCAUUUUGAAAUGCCACAUAAAUUCCAUGUCAUUCCCGUAAUUACUCAAAGAUUAAUAAUAGUGGCUCUGUUCUAACAAUUGAAAGUCUAUUUUGGAGUUAUGAAAUGGAAAUAAUCAAGACCUGGAAACAUAUUUCUAUUUACAUACAUCAUUAGUUUCUUAUUAUCUCCUUGUGAAACCAAUAUUUUGGAAUUCUUAAACCAUAUUGCACUAAAAAAGUUUGAGUUUGAGAAAAAUGGAAGAAGAUUAAGAUGUGUGCUUUCUUUGCUCUUUACAAUCUAUCAAUUUUACAUCAUCUUCACUAAGCUAUUUUAUAUGUACUUCCAACUUAAAACAAUUUCUCAAAAUUAUUUCAAUAACUUUUUGCUCUAUACCUUCCUGAAGCAAUUCUAAAAGGUUCCUUCAGAAUGUUUAAAUACCCUAUUUUAUAUCUUAUUAACAGCUGUCAUCAGUAUUACACUUAGAAAGAGAACUAUAAUUGAUGGGGGAAAAUACUGGACAAGGCCUUUGGUAUUCAAUGUGAGACAUCAAAGAUUUUAAAUGUUUCUAUGUAACAUAAAGUGGUAACUUUGUGUUGAUCCUCAAAAGGAAGAAGAAUAAAUGAUAGUAGAAAGGAAGGAUAUAGAGCUCUUAAGAAUAGUUCACAAUGAAAUCUCAUUAUGCAAAGCAUGUAUACCUGUAAGCCAUUAGUAAAGUUAUUAAGUUCACAAACAGGUUGAUGGGAAUGGCUUGUGUGCUUUUCUUUUUUUAGCAGGGAGGGGAUGUUUGGGAGUGGGAUUGAGCCACUUAAACAAAAGAAGCAUGACUUUUUGAAGGUUUUGAGACAGUCCCUCGACUGUCGUAUGUAAUAAAAUUUGGAGGUUCGAGCAAAGUUUAUCUCUAUCUCUAGCAGGCAGGUCUCAUGUAACACCUCAGUUUUAUACUCGUUGUAUAAUAAAAAGAAUCAUAUAUCUAAACAGUAAAGUUGUCCUGUUUAUUUGUGUUUGAACUUCCAAGGAAAUUAUCUGAGCAUUCAUUUUUUCUUUUAAAAACAAUUACCAUUAAUCCUAAUUAAAUUGUCAAUCUCUGGGCCUCACAGUGCCGACGUAUAACUUGUUCUGACAUUUUUCUUGUGAUACCCUAAAGCUCUGGGUUCUUUAUUGUUCCAAUGAUUGAAGCAUGAUACAGUAGAGCUUGCUGAGUUUCUGAUUAGCAGUAUUGUCAAAGCUGUAAGUUGACAACUUGUUCAAUCCCUUUAUUUCUAUAGAUAUAUACCUGCUGGCAUGGUUCAGAUAAAUUAAGGCAAGUAGAUUUUGAUGAUGAGGAACGAAUGACUUAUACCCUUCUGAUGACAGCAUUUUCUUAUUAGGAAGGAUGAUUAUAUUUCCAAAUUGACUCCCAAUUUUUCUUUCUCCAGAAGAGCCCUGACCAUAACUACUUACGGUUUUGUAACCUUGCAUAAAACAGCAUCUUUUCUAACAAAAAUGCCUGUUUUAAAUUUGACUUUCAUUUAUAAACAAGCUUAUUAGUCAAAGGAAUGUGGCUCUUUCAUCCCUUUUAAACCCUCAUAAGUAUUUUCUGCAUUCAAAUUAUGAAGAGAAGCUUUAACUGUACAAACAAUGUGCAUGCUCACGUUGGCAUUUCUUUGAUUUAGGUAUGAAAUUAUUUGGCAUGUUUCUAAUUACUUUCUCUUCAGCUAAAUCUUCAAUUAUGCUGUUUUCUUUUGUUUGUCUUGUUUCAAUAAGUAAGAGAUUGAGUAGUUAUAAUUUUGUUGGUAAGACAUUGUCAAAAUUGAAGAGAUUGAGUAGUUGUAAUUUUGUUUGUAAAACAAGUAAACGAAUAAAAAGUUCGACAUUUAACAAGGAAAAUACAACCCAACAAGUUAAGCUCAACACACAGGGAAACAGCUGAUCAUCAAAAAGCAUCGUGCUGGAACACUUCAGAAAAUAGAGGACUCCAGAGGGUCUUGUCUGCUUUGGUCAUUGUCUGAAAGGAGCUUUAAAUCUCAAUGCGUUUCCUGAAGAGUUUAGGCAAAAAUAUGUAUAUCAUUAUUUAUUUGCAAGGUAUUUUAUAAGGCAAACUGUUGCAGCUCAAGCUGUAUAAACAUGUCUUUGAUUUCUACUGAAAUGUUUAAUUCAAAGCAGCAUUCACAGUGUUGGGGAAAAUGACAAAAUGUUUAAAAAUAAAAAUAAUAGACAUUGCUUAACUCAGAUCUAUAUGUGCAUUGUAACAUUUUAUAUAGUCAUUGUACUGUCUAUAGAAAAAGAAGUAGAAAUAAAGAUGUCUGAUUUUAAGAACUAUUUUUCUCUAAUACUACAGUUACUUCAUAGUACAUAUGUUUUUACUGCUCAAAUUGCUCCUCUUGUUAUUUUCUGUGUAAUUUUCAGGUGUUUAUACCCUGUGCUAUUAUGUAAUACCAUCUAAAUAAGAAAAAUGCUAAUCACUGAUAGAUUAAAUAAUAUCUUACCUAUAUAAUGCUAUAGCAUAAAUUCAUUAAGUGAGAAAAAUGGGAUCAGAAUGUGAGGCUAGUGAAAUAAAACCUUUCUUGCUAAUUCAUAAAAAAUGUUGAAUGCAGUGCAUAACAGAUCCACUAUUACUCAAAUAAAACAAAAGACAUUCUAAAAAAUGCUAAGACCCUUAACAAGAAAUUUACCUACCUAUAUAUUCUCGGUGAAAUGUGUAUCAAAAU